rnacentral:rRNA from 1 species
UACGUAGGGUGCGAGCGUUAAUCGGAAUUACUGGGCGUAAAGCGUGCGCAGGCGGUGAUGUAAGACAGGUGUGAAAUCCCCGGGCUUAACCUGGGAACUGCAUUUGUGACUGCAUUGCUGGAGUGCGGCAGAGGGGGAUGGAAUUCCGCGUGUAGCAGUGAAAUGCGUAGAUAUGCGGAGGAACACCGAUGGCGAAGGCAAUCCCCUGGGCCUGCACUGACGCUCAUGCGCGAAAGCGUGGGGAGCAAACAGG